GACGAACGCUGGCGGCGUGCUUAACACAUGCAAGUCGAACGGUGAAGCGCCUUCCUUGUUGGUGGGUGGGGUGGAGUGGCGAACGGGUGAAUAACACUAGAGUAACCUGCCCUCUUCUUUUGCAUAACCGCAUUAAAGCGUGUAUAAUACGGGAUAUUCUGGUUCAGUCGCAUGAUGGGUCUGGGUAAGAUGUUGGGGCGGGGGGGGAGGGGCUUGCGGCCGAUCAGGGUGUUGGGGGUAUGAUGGCCUACCAAGGCUGUGAGGGGUCGCCGGCUUGGGCGGGUGGACGGCCACAGUGGGAGUGCGGCACCGCUGAGACUGAUACGCGGCGCAGCCGUGUGCAAUAUUGAACAGUGGGGGCAAGCCUGAUGCAGCGACGACGCGUGAGGGAUGGCGGCCUUCGGGUUAUGAACCUCUUUCGCCAGUGAAGCAGGCCUGCCUCGUUUGUGGGUGGGUUGACGGUAGCUGGAUAAGAAGCGCCGGCUAACUACGUG
rnacentral:rRNA from 1 species